AUGAAUGCUGGCGGCGUGUCUAAGGCAUGCAAGUCGAGCGGAUUAUCUUCGGUAGCAAUACUGGAGAUGGUCAGCGGCAAACGGGUGCGUAACACAUUGGUAACUUACCUCGAAGUCGGGCAUAACUCCGCGAAAGCGGAGCUAAUUCCACGAUGGCCAUGGGGGGACAAAUGUCAUUCCCAUGUAAAGCGCAAAACGUGCUUCGAGAGAGACCUAUGGCCUAUCAGCUAGUUGGCGGGGUAAAAGCCCACCAAGGCUAUGACGGGUAGGGGAUGUGAGAGCAUGAUCCCCCUCACUGGGACUGAGACACUGCCCAGACACCUACGGGUGGCUGCAGUCGAGAAUAUUCCUCAAUGGACGAAAGUCUGAAGGAGCGACGCCGCGUGCAGGAUGAAGGGCUUCGGCUCGUAAACUGCUUUUAUUUGGGAAGAACUAAUGACGGUACCAAAUGAAUAAGAGGUUGCUAACUCUGU
rnacentral:rRNA from 1 species